UAUUUUUUUUAAGGCUAUUUUGAAUUGUUUGAAUUGGGGAAGAAUACACGAAGUAUGAAAAAUGAAAAACUCAAUGAAGAAUGAAGAGAAGUAGAAAGCAAGAGUGAAGUAGAAUUAAAAGAAUCUGGAAGAAUGAAUGGGUCCUAGGUUAAGUAAAUGAGUCUCGCUCUCAGUCAAAAUCUCCAACGGGAACUCCUGCUCGUGUAAAAUCAGAGAGCAGGUCAGGAUCUCGUAGUCCAUCAAGGGUUUCCAAACAUUCUGAAUCCCAUUCUCGAUCAAGAUCAAAAUCCAGGUCGAGGUCACGGAGGCAUUCUCAUAGACGCUACACGCGAUCCAGGUCACACUCUCACAGAAGACGGUCGCGAAGUAGGUCCUAUACACCAGAGUACAGGCGGAGGAGGAGCCGGAGCCACUCCCCCAUGUCAAACCGCAGAAGGCACACUGGCAGCAGG
rnacentral:lncRNA from 1 species